rnacentral:rRNA from 1 species
AAUGAACGCUGGCGGCAGGCCUAACACCUGCAAGUCGAACGGAUCCUUCGGGAUUAGUGGCGGACGGGUGAGUAACGCGUGGGAACAUUCCCAAAGGUACGGAAUAGCCCCGGGAAACUGGGAGUAAUACCGUAUGUGCUCGAAAGAGGAAAGAUUUAUCGCCUUUGGAUUGGCCCGCGUUGGAUUAGGUAGCUGGUGGGGUAUUGGCUUACCAAGCCGACGAUCCAUAGCUGGUUUGAGAGGUUGAUCAGCCACACUGGGACUGAGACACGGCCCAGACUCCUACGGAAGGCAGCAGUGGGGAAUCUUAGACAAUGGGGGAAACCCUGAUCUGUCCAUGCCGCGUGAUCGAUAAAGGCCUUACAGUUGUAAAGAUCUUUCAGGUGGGAAGAUAAUGACUGUACCACCAGAAGAAGCCCCGGCUAACUCCGUGCCAGCAGCCGCGGUAA